rnacentral:rRNA from 1 species
UGGGGAAUUUUACGCAAUGGGGGAAACCCUGACGUAGCGACACCGCGUGAGCGAAGAAGCCCUUUGGGGUGUAAAGCUCUGUCAACAGGAACGAAACAAAUGACGGUACCUGUGGAGGAAGCAUCGGCUAACUACGUGCCAGCAGCCGCGGUAAGACGUAGGAUGCAAGCGUUGUCCGGAUUUAUUGGGCGUAAAGAGUUCGUAGGCGGUUUGUUAAGUCUGAUGUUAAAGACCGGGGCUCAACCUCGGAAAUGCAUUGGAUACUGGCAGACUGGAGUGCAGUAGAGGCUAGUGGAAUUCCCAGUGUAGCGGUGAAAUGCGUAGAUAUUGGGAAGAACACCGGUGGCGUAGGCGACUAGCUGGGCUGUAACUGACGCUGAGGAACGAAAGCCAGGGGAGCAAAUGGGAUUAGAUACCCCAGUAGUCCUGGCCGUAAACGAUGGAUACUAGGCGUAGUGGGGUAUCGACCCCUGUGUGCCGCAGCUAACGCGAUAAGUAUCCCGCCUGAGUAGUACGGCCGCAAGGUUGAAA